AUUCCCGGAGCUCUCCACUACGGCGUCCCUCAUAAUUAAAGACCGGAACUUCAGGCAAAAUGCCUAUUUUUUCCUGGAGUCCGGUUCGAGCCUAUUUCACAUAUAAGCACGAACUAAGGGAAGGGAAACGUUUUAAUCACACAUUUAUUGUGCCUAUAAGUGCCUA
rnacentral:lncRNA from 1 species